GCCAUACCCUGAACCCACCCGAUCCCAUCUGAUCUCGGAAGCUAAGCAGGGUUGGGCCUGGUUAGUACUUGGAUAGGAGAACGCAGAGAGGCUAAGAAGAAAAAAGCC
rnacentral:rRNA from 1 species